AGAAUUAUCGCCAGGCAGCCGUGAAUGCCAUUCGAGCAGGUCAGUAUAAUGAUUGCAUUUAUUCUUUAAGGCUUCAAAGCAGUACUAAAGCUGAAUUCAAAUAAAGAAAGAGCAAUAAUUAAAUAUCAAAAAAAGAAAAAAAGAAAAGGAAGGAGAAGAAAAGGACUAUGCAUUCUUGAAAUCUUACGAAAAGGUGUUUAGCUAUGAUGCCCCUCUAUGAUGUAUCCCCUGAUCUACACUUGCAUGCCAACUAGUGGAGCCACUAUCAUUGUGCCUCGUUUUGGUAGCAUGCAUUAUUAUAAUCAAGAAACCGGUUCAGCACACAUCACUGUGGACUCACUUCCUAUCCAUGGCCCACUUCUGGGAGAAAGAUGAAGUCCUCUGGGCUAACUAUGCUUUAGGUUAUUGUUGAGCAAGACAAUAAAUAAAAAUGGAGUAAGAUAACUUCAAAACUUCUAAUUUUUAAUGCCUGAAUGUUUUAAAAUUAGAGCUGUCCUUUGGUAAAACUUUAGUCUUCCUGCAAAAAAGGUUGCUGGAUUGCUGUAGUUAGGAUAUUGGUAACAUCGGCAUGGCCUUGUGCCAUAAUAGUGGAUCUCUUUGCGUGGUAGUUUUGAUUUGAAGCUAUAGGUCAGUGGACACGCUAUACAAUAAAGCAGACACGAAAAACAUAUUUCAAUUCUUGGGCUGACCUGAUAUCUAUUAAUUCUUCAAAUUAUCCAGCAAAACGAUAAGACUGUUUCUAACUGGAUUUCCCUGUACUCAUAUCAUCGACUAAAGCAUGUAUUGAUCAUGUGAUUUUCAG
rnacentral:lncRNA from 1 species